CUCGUAGGCGGCCAACUAAGUCAGACGUGAAAUCCCUCGGCUUAACCGGGGAACUGCGUCUGAUACUGGAUGGCUUGAGGUCGGGAGAGGGAUGCGGAAUUCCAGGUGUAGCGGUGAAAUGCGUAGAUAUCUGGAGGAACACCGGUGGCGAAGGCGGCAUCCUGGACCAAAUCUGACGCUGAGGAGCGAAAGCCAGGGGAGCAAACG
rnacentral:rRNA from 1 species